rnacentral:rRNA from 1 species
GUGCCAGCAGCCGCGGUAAUACGUAGGGUGCGAGCGUUAAUCGGAAUUACUGGGCGUAAAGCGUGCGCAGGCGGUUUCUUAAGCCAGAUGUGAAAUCCCCGGGCUUAACCUGGGAACUGCAUUUGGAACUGGGAGACUAGAGUGCGUCAGAGGGGGGUGGAAUUCCACGUGUAGCAGUGAAAUGCGUAGAGAUGUGGAGGAACACCGAUGGCGAAGGCAGCCCCCUGGGAUGACACUGACGCUCAUGCACGAAAGCGUGGGGAGCAAACAGGAUUAGAUACCCUGGUAGUCC